rnacentral:rRNA from 1 species
AAUCAACGCUGGCGGCGUGCCUCAGACAUGCAAGUCGAACGAUUAAAGCUCUCUUCGGAGAGUGUAUAGAGUGGCGCACGGGUGAGUAACACGUAAGUAAUCUACCUUCGAGUGGGGAAUAACAGUCGGAAACGACUGCUAAUACCGCAUAAUGCAGCGGCAUCGCAAGAUGACAGUUGUUAAAGGAAUUUAUUUCGCUUGAAGAGGAGCUUGCGGCAGAUUAGCUAGUUGGUAAGGUAAUGGCUUACCAAGGCUACGAUCUGUAACCGGUCUAAGAGGACGGUCGGUCACACUGACACUGAAUAACGGGUCAGACUCCUACGGGAGGCAGCAGUCGGGAAUUUU